rnacentral:lncRNA from 1 species
CUGGCCCAAAACACUCUGCAGGUUCCCCGUUUCUCCUGGUCCCUUUCUACUAGCACCAUUUUACAGCACAGUAGUUCCUCUGUGGGGCCAAGGUAUAGAGAGAAUCAGAUCUUGAAAGACUGCCUUUUCUAGCUUUAGAGGGGCAAAUUUUCUAGGGGAAAAAGUGCAUGGGGUUCUUUGAAAUUAGCUGCGGAGUAGCUGUCUGCAUUUCAGACCGAGUCUCAUCUGCAGUUUCAGGCGUGACAGAGCUGACCUUCCUCCCACCCUGCUGUGAGGAUGAAAUGCUGCUGCAGAGCGCUUUGAAGUCUCUGGAUGAAAAGCACCACAGAAGCGCCAAGUAUGAUUGUUACUCUUGCCAGCAACACUAGAAGACAGCACAAAAAUAGGAAGCAAAGAAAAUUUCAUCUUACAAAAGCUUCAGUGAGAAAAUUGGCUGGUCAGAAUGUCAUUCUCUGUUUUUGGUUCACAUAACUGGCUUUUAUAAAAUUAAAAGAAAAACAAAUGGACACAUUUCUGUCUUUGGCAAGCAGGAGCCCUUUGAUCAUCACCAUUAAUGGGACACCAGGUGAGUCACUGACGCAGAAGGGAGGUGCGUACGUGAGGAGACCUUGUCAAAUCAAUGUUUUGUACU